rnacentral:rRNA from 1 species
UCCCAUCACCCUGAACACGCCCGAUCUUGUCUAAUCUCAGAAGCUAAGCAGCGUCGGGCCUGGUUUGUACUUGGAUGGAC